UCACCAUUAUUGCAUGAAUUUCAUUUGUUUCCAGGAAAAUCUAUUUUUAGUGUGGGCGACACUAUAUAAGACGAUUGCGCGACGGCGACAACUCAGUAUGACUGUGGUAUCACUUUAGUGGAAGUAGACGUUCAGGAACCAACUCUAUCAACAGCGGAAAAUGUUGAAACUGGUUAAAAGGCCAAAAAGUACAGUACACACAGCCAAAUCAGGCUGUCGUGGAACUAUCAAGAAGUAUAAAACUAAAAAAACUAAGACAACGGGUCGUGUUGCUAAGCGGCCCAGAAAAAUUCCAAAGAAAGUUGCCAGCCAAAUCAGGCUAUCAAACACAACAAGAGGAGCUGUACAGCGAAAUCAUACAAAGAACACUGCUGGUAUUACCAGACGAAUGACUGUCAGUCGAAAGGGUGUCACAUUAAGUCUAACAAGGCGUGUAACCAGAAGGUUGACGAUUCCUGCUGGAUGCAACAGACCAACACAUAAAGUUAUGAAGAAAACUAAAACUAAGCCAAUUGCCGGUGUUACCAAACGAUCCAGAAAAAUUCCAAAGAAACUUACCAGACAAAUCAGGCUAUCAAACACGACAAGAGGAGCUGUACAGCGAAAUCAUACAAAGAACACAGCUGGUAUUACCAGACGAAUGACUGUCAGUCGAAAGGGUGUCACAUUAAGUCAAACGAGGCGUGUAACUAGAAGGGUGACGAUUCCUGCUGGAUGCAGGAUGUAUUUUAUACAUUAAACUAAAUAAAUGAAUAUUUCUUUUGUAAUGAUUAAUUCGUUUAACGCAAAAUAGAUAAAGACAAAUUAAACAAUGAA